rnacentral:misc_RNA from 1 species
UAGGAAAGUCAUAAAUAUAUAAAUUAUAUUAUAUAAUUAAUAUAAUAAUAAAAUAAAUUAUAUAUUUUAUUUAUAAUAUUAUUUCUUUAUAAGAUAAAUAUUAUCUAAUUAAUAAUUAGAUUGAAUAAUAUUUAUAAAGAAAUAUAUAUAAAAAGUCAUUAUAUAAAUUUAAUUAUAAUUUAAAUAAAUUUUAUAUAAAUUAAUAUAAUAUUAAUAAAGUAAUUAGUAUAAAUAAAUAAUAUGAAAAUAAAACUUAAUAAAUAUAUAAAUAUAGUCCAUAUAUAUAUAUUAAUAAAAAAAAGUAAUAUAUAUAUAUAUAUUGGAAUAGUUAUAUUAUUAUACAGAAAUAUGCUUAA